rnacentral:rRNA from 1 species
ACGUAGGUGGCGAGCGUUAUCCGGAUUUACUGGGUGUAAAGGGCGUGUAGGCGGGUUUGCAAGUCGGAUGUGAAAUUCCCGGGCUUAACUCGGGCGGGUCAUCCGAAACUGCAGAUCUUGAGUACUGGAGAGGAUAGUGGAAUUCCUAGUGUAGCGGUAAAAUGCGUAGAUAUUAGGAGGAACACCAGUGGCGAAGGCGGCUAUCUGGACAGUAACUGACGCUGAGGCGCGAAAGCGUGGGGAGCAAACAG